UGCCAGCAGCCGCGGUAAUACGGAGGGAGCGAACGUUGUUCGGAUUCACUGGGCGUAAAGGGCGCGCAGGCGGUCUUGUCCGUCAGGUGUGAAAGCUCGGGGCUCAACCCCGGAAGUGCACUUGAAACAGCAAGACUUGAAUACGGUAGAGGAGAGAGGAAUUCCUGGUGUAGAGGUGAAAUUCGUAGAUAUCAGGAGGAACACCGAUGGCGAAGGCAUCUCUCUGGGUCGAUAUUGACGCUGAGGCGCGAAGGCGUGGGGAGCGAACAGGAUUAGAUA
rnacentral:rRNA from 1 species